rnacentral:rRNA from 1 species
GAUGAACGCUAGCGGCAGGCUUAAUACAUGCAAGUCAAGGGGGUAGCAAUACAACCGGCGCACGGGUGAGUAACGCGUACACAACAUACCAUAUACUGGAGUAUAGCUUUGGGAAACUGAAGGUAAUCCUCCAUAACAUUGCGAGAGGGCAUCUGAUUGCAAUUAAAGUUUCGGCGGUAUAUGAUUGGUGUGCGUUUGAUUAGCUAGUUGGUAGGGUAACGGCCUACCAAGGCGACGAUCAAUAGCUGGCGUGAGAGCGCGACCAGCCACACUGGAACUGAGACACGGUCCAGACUCCUACGGGAGGCAGCAGUAGGGAAUAUUGGACAAUGGAGGAAACUCUGAUCCAGCCAUGCCGCGUGAUAGAUGAAGGCCCUCUGGGUUGUAAAUAUCUUUUAUCUGGGAAGAAACUCCUCUAUUCUUAGAGGCCUGACGGUACCAGAGGAAUAAGCACCGGCUAACUCGUGCCAGCAGCCGCGU